rnacentral:rRNA from 1 species
UNGGGACUUCGUCCCCGNGUUNGUNAUAGGCGGCAGGGUGAGUAACACGUGGGUAACCUGCCUGUAAGACUGGGAUAACUCCGGGGAAACCGGGGCUAAUACCGGAUGCUUGUUUGAACCGCAUGGUUCAAACAUAAAAGGUGGCUUCGGCUACCACUUACAGAUGGACCCGCGGCGCAUUAGCUAGUUGGUGAGGUAAUGGCUCACCAAGGCGACGAUGCGUAGCCGACCUGAGAGGGUGAUCGGCCACACUGGGACUAGAGACACGGCCCAGACUCCUACGGGAGGCAGCAGUAGGGAAUCUUCCGCAAUGGACGAAAGUCUGACGGAGCAACGCCGCGUGAGUGAUGAAGGUUUUCGGAUCGUAAAGCUCUGUUGUUAGGGAAGAACAAGUACCGUUCGAAUAGGGCGGUACCUUGACGGUACCUAACCAGAAAGCCACGGCUAACUACGUGCCACGCACGCCGCGGUAAUACGUAGGUGGCAAGCGUUGUCCGGAAUUAAUUGGGCGUAAAGGGCUCGCAGGCGGUUUCUUUAAGUCUGAUGUGAAAGCCCCGGCCUCAACCGGGGAGGGUCAUUGGAAACUGGGGAACUUGAGUGCAAAAGAGGAAAGUGCCAAUCAACUGUACGGUAAUGUUAAGAUGUGCAGAACACAUCUGNCACGGCCACUUCUUCUGGUUCUUGAAAUCUGACACUCUAAGAAACCGAAAGCGUGGGGAANCAAAAGAUAUAACUCCCUUGGUAUCCCACNCCAAUACAAUAAUUUAGUUGAUAUGGGGGUUCCCCCCCUUUUGUCACAACAUAACCCCCCCCAUGGAGACAGGCCCAAAUAAAACAAGAAAUAGGGGCCCCCACGGGCUUUAUUAAAAACAAAAAAAUACGCCNAUACGCCAACUAUANUUAUCUUUGGGAAAAGUANUUCAUUUUUUUAUAUUUCANACACNAU